rnacentral:lncRNA from 1 species
ACAGUAUAAUUCACAUUUUCAAAAGUUGUACAAAACAGUAAGAAUGAGAACACAUCAUUUUUAAUUAUAAUUAUUACUAAGAAAGUACAUUUUAAUUGGUAAAUAUGGUUUUGUGGAGGUGAGUUAAUCUGUGCUUAAAGUGCUUGCUGUUCUUGCACAAAGAUGUUAGUUUUGAAAAGCCAAACACAGGGCCUCCAGUUGAAGAUAAGAGACAGGAAAAUAUCUAACGUAUCAUAGAGCAGCUAGUAAAGUGCACACAGAAGGGGGUGGGGAGAACCCUAUCCCAAAAAGGGUAGGAAACUGCAAGUAAUGUUAUUCUACUCUAGCAUCCAAACUCACUGUAGAAUACAUAACACAUGCACACACACACACACACACACACACGCACACACAUGAGAGAGAGAGAGAGAGAGAGAGAGAGAGAUUACUAAUGAUUUUGAAGACCUGUUGGAAAGUUGAUAAGGAUAAUGAAUCAUUAAUUCACUCAAGUUAUGCAUCAGUAACCUCAUUCAUUCAAUUCUCUUCCAAAAGUAAUGAUCUAAUUGUAACCUGAAGCUAAAGAAACCUGAGCCAGUAAUCCUGAAUGAGAAAAGCCACUGUCUGAAUACAAAAUGGUUUUCACAUUGAUUUAUUUAAUUUUGCAUACAAAGGAUGGUCACAAAAUUAAAGUAAUUAAUUUUCAUAUCUAAGAUGAUUCAGCACUGAAGAACACUGGCUGCUCUUGCAGAGAACCUGGAUUUUUCCCUUCUCUCCAUAUAUAAGAAGCAAUACAAUAAAAUUUUUAUUAUACUAACACUUCUAUGUGAAUUAGACUCCUCACAAAAAAAAAAAUUAUACAGGAGUUUAUAUUCGCAAUUAUACCCAAACAUUCAACCAUAUCCUCAAAUAUAAAAGUUGUAAAUGAGCAUAGCUAGGCAUUUGAAAUUCAGUAUAUGAUUAAGGAUGGAGAAGUUUUCCUUCCUAUAUAAAUAUGCUACAGUAACUCACUUCCUUUUUAGCAACUGAAACUUAAUUUGACUUAUUUUUAUUAUCUGCAAUACUUUGACAUAACAUUCUAGAGCACACAUGUAUUUCAUCAUUGACCAUUUACAUCUUAACCUAACAUAUUUUUUCUUCUUUAAUAUUUGCAGUAGCUGCCUUCUUCCCAGACUUUCUAGAGUUUUCUAGUUUCGCGUUUAGACUUAGGGCCUACACUGUCCAUCUCCUGGACCUUUCUUAACCUGCAUGGGUCUCUACUGCUCUUUUUAAUUUUCCUCUCUUUCCUCCCUUGCUUCAGUCCUUGUUUGUAUAGUUAUUUCAUUUGGAUGAGAAUGCCCUUUUGCCUAUGCCCUAUUAAAUGCCUUCUUUCUGUUCAUUUCCUACUUACAUGUUGUUGCUUCUAUAAUACAUUCUCUUUGCUUACCUGUACUGUUCUAGAACAUAACACCCUACUAUAUCUUCUUGAAUUCCAUCUAGCUUUCAUGUCAUAUUUUCUCCUUUCCUGAAAAAGUAUGUUCGCCAUCAUCCUAACAGACAUUGUUGUUGUAGUUGUUGUCAUUCACCUCUGUGUUGCAUAUAAUGUUUGUCAGCAUUAUAUUCUCUAUUACCCUUAAAAGAAUGAACCCAUGCAUGUAGAAUGCAGAAAUCUCAGGAGCCCUAAACCUUACACAAAGAACUGAGUGACACUAUACAGACUAAGCAGGUUGCAUUUGUAUGUGUUUAAGAACACACAUAUACAUAUAUAACAACAAUUAAAGAAAACGAGGCCAAGAAUUUGAAAGAAAUCAAGGGGGAAGGAGAAUCAAGGAAGCCUUUGGAGGAAGAAAAUGGAAUGAACAAAUAAUUAAAACUUCAAACUGAAAAAUAUAUUUUAAAAAUGUAGCUAUAAAAGUUAAGAUACUAUCCUCCCUGUCAUCCUUGCCUGCUGAACUUUCUCUUAGUCUAUAAAUAUCCUAGCUAAGUAUCUUUUCAUGUCCAAAUGAUACCUGCCACUAUGCUUAGCUUCUUUGUUCUUAACUUCACUCAUUUUUUAGUCUUUAGAUUACUAGUUUCUCAAAAUAAAUUUCAAAAACGGCAAAGCAUAGACAUGUGCUCUAAAGGCUGAGCUAGGAUGAUGGCCAUGAGUGUGAAGCAGGUGGGCCACUAUUAUACAAUGAAUACCAGGGUAGCCUAGUUGUUACACAAUGAGUUCUGGUCUCUCUGUACCUCCAUUAACAUCCAAGGCUACAUUACAGGAUAGCAUGAUUAGGAAGCUUAUUCUUAUUUUAAUGAUGCAUAAAAUAUCCCAUGUUACUCUACAUUUUUCUUCCCAGAUAGUCAUGAAGCAAGAUUUCAGGACUUUCCAUUUUCUAACAUUGAGGUCAUCUGAUUUCCCUCAGGCACCUUGGUAGAAAGGGUUUUACCAUCAAGCUCUUUGCUGAGGAUUCACUUGGAGUGUAAGAAAGGGCAAUUACCUUUUGAACUCUGUUUUUGAGUAAACAGAGCUGAGUGGAACAGUGGGAGCAGAAGAAAUGUUCUCAAGAGCAUAUUAGCAUAAAGCAAUUAGGCAAUGGUAAUGAGAGUUAGUCUCUGCUGUUAUGGCAACAACUGCCAGUGACCACUGAAACAACCUCACUUAGGAGUUUUUCAGGGUGCCUUGCCUUGCUCUUCUUGGGAAUUCUCUGCCCCAGCUGCCCUUAUCCCUUAGGAACAAAGUUCUAAUUCAACAUAGGCAUUUAAAUCAUCAUUUGUUAACAAGUAACUUUGUAUCUCUUUCACUAAAAAUAUAAAAUAUUUAUCAGGGUCAUUCCUGCUUGGUCACAUCAUCAUAUGUUCUUACCCCUUUGCCUCUGAACUAGCUCAAUUACAUGGAGACUUGACUUUUUUUCUGUGGGAUACAUUGUUCUAAAAGCUCACAUUUGCUCUCCUUUCUGCAUCUUCCAACCCAAGGUGUUUCUGCUUAUGUUAUGGUAAGGUCUGUCGAAAAAGAAUAUGGUUGGUUCAUGAACAAGAUGACAAUAAACUCUCGAGUGUGGUCUUACAACUUUGAUGCUUCCAGGGUCAUAUCAUGAGUCUUUUCCCACCCCCCAAACCUACAGCAUGACUAGGUGUUGGCACAGUGCCCAGGAUGCCAGGCGCAAGAAGGUACUAAUGGCAAUAAGUAGGAGUGCCAACUCAAAGGCAAUAUGAGUCUGUUAGAAAUGGGAGCAGGAAAACCAUGCUUCCCAAUUGGUAAUGUCCAUCCAGUGGAUUAUGUUUGAGCAUGAAAGACAAAAAGCACAAUGAGUUUCUGUCUCUGUGGGGUGUGGAACAACCAGUCAGUGUAAGGUUGAAACCAUAAAGGAAGCCUGUUGGUUUAUUUUGACUUUUCUGUCUUUGAAUGCACACAGGCUGAAAGUUGUAGUGCUUUAGUAGAUGAGUGAAGUUGUAUGGAACCAGAACAAGAAAUAGAAAUUU